rnacentral:rRNA from 1 species
AGAGUUUGAUCCUGGCUCAGGACGAACGCUGGCGGCGUGCUUAACACAUGCAAGUCGAGCGGUAAGGCCCUUCGGGGUACACGAGCGGCGAACGGGUGAGUAACACGUGGGUGACCUGCCCUCAGCUUCGGGAUAAGCCUGGGAAACUGGGUCUAAUACCGGAUAGGACUCUGCGCUGCAUGGUGUGGGGUGGAAAGUUUUUUCGGCUGGGGAUGGGCCCGCGGCCUAUCAGCUUGUUGGUGGGGUGAUGGCUUACCAAGGCGACGACGGGUAGCCGGCCUGAGAGGGCGACCGGCCACACUGGGACUGAGACACGGCCCAGACUCCUACGGGAGGCAGCAGUGGGGAAUAUUGCGCAAUGGGCGGAAGCCUGACGCAGCGACGCCGCGUGGGGGAUGACGGCCUUCGGGUUGUAAACCUCUUUCGACCUCGACGAAGCCGUGAGGUGACGGUAGGGGUAGAAGAAGCACCGGCCAACUACGUGCCAGCAGCCGCGGUAACACGUAGGGUGCGAGCGUUGUCCGGAAUUAUUGGGCGUAAAGAGCUCGUAGGCGGUGUGUCGCGUCGGCCGUGAAAACUUGCAGCUUAACUGUGAGCUUGCGGUCGAUACGGGCAUCACUGGAGUUCGGCAGGGGAGACUGGAAUUCCUGGUGUAGCGGUGAAAUGCGCAGAUAUCAGGAGGAACACCGGUGGCGAAGGCGGGUCUCUGGGCCGAUACUGACGCUGAGGAGCGAAAGCGUGGGGAGCGAACAGGAUUAGAUACCCUAGUAGUCC